GAAGCUGCCUGCCUGCCGCUCAAAAUCAAAUUAGAGCAAAUGCGAAGUACUUGAAGGAAAUGCGCUGCAAGCACAGGAAACCGGAAGAAGGAAGAGCAGACGGAGGAGCCAGGGUGACCCGCAGGCGGAGGCAGGGAGGCAAAGAGACAAAGAGAGGAAGCGCCGGCGACAGAGAAAGAGACAGAGAGAAGGAGCCAGUUGAGAUACAGAUGGAGAGCAAGGAUAUCCCGAAGGAGCGAGUAGGAGAGCGUUGUCCAUGUUGGCGGCGAAUUUAAUCAUUCGCCUUGCUCUCGCUCCUUCGUCCUGGGUGUGCGAGUGUGUGCACAUCAAAAACUAAACACGUCAAAUUUCCCGUUGUCGCCUGCACUUCUAUUUGACUUGAAGGAGCAAGAGAGAGAGGCAAAUAGAGAGAGAGAGAGAGGGAGACAGGGAGAGAUCCUUUCGCUCUCUCUCUUUACUCGCGGCGACAUCAAAGGGCGUUAUAAUUCGGAAUUAUGCAAAGCUUAUCAAACGUGGACGCAUUGUGGCGUUUACAAGCGGAAAUAAUGAAAAAUAGCGCGAGAC